rnacentral:lncRNA from 1 species
CCGUUCUCAGUCGAGCCACACCCCCUUUCAACUCCGAUUUCGACAGAGCAGGUGGGGGCGACGGCGAGCGCGAGAUUCAGGUAAGGUUUCACUCACCUAUUUUCUUCUAUUUUAAGAUCUCUUGAAAUCGAUUUGUAAAGGAAAUGCAUAAAUAAAUAAAUGAAAUAGAAAAUGGAAAAACAAAGAAAACAGAAAAGAUCAGAUUUCACCUUUUAAAAAUCUUUGUUUUUUUUGUAUUCAUUUUUUUUCCUUUUUUACAACCGAAAGAAAAGAAAAGAAAAAAUCCCCUUUUAUUACAGUGAUCAAGCCCUUUUACCCCCGAAAAUGAUACAAUAAAAUGUUAUUUUCUACUGCUUGGUCUCUGCUUUGCGUGUUAUUUCAUCUUGCAGGGAGUCAGAGAGUAGGUAUGGCAGCAGCGUACGGUGCACAUGGGAGCAGCAAGGGAUGCGGCGCCCUAGGGUUGGUGAUUAGGUUUUUUUGCUGAAAUGUUGUAGGUGAUUAGGCCAUUGGGCUUGCUGUUUUUGGGUUUAAUUUAGUUUGUUUGGCUGGGGCAAAUUUGGGCUUUGUACACAAUGUCAGCACAAAAUUAAAUGGUAUCAAGAAGUGUAGAAAUUUAGAAUACUUUUUAUUAUAUCAAGUCUGUCUAACUCUAUAAUAUAGAGUCGGAAUCUUCUAAAUGAACUCAAAUUUAAUAAAGUUAGAUUUAAUAACUAAAAAAUGGCAGUUUUUUGUUAUUUGAGACUCGAAGUUUACAUUGAAAUUUGUUUAUUUGAUUAUUCAAUGCUUUCUUACAUAGGCAUGUGUUCCCUUAUAGACACAAAAUAGAAGCCAUUU